GAUGAACGCUGGCGGCGUGCCUAAUACAUGCAAGUCGAGCGAACGGACGAGAAGCUUGCUUCUCUGAUGUUAGCGGCGGGCGGGGGAGUAACACGUGGAUAACCUACCUAUAAGACUGGGAUAACUUCGGGAAACCGUAGCUAAUACCGGAUAAUAUUUUGAACCGCUUGGUUCAAAAGUGAAAGACGGUCUUGCUGUCACUUAUAGAUGGAUCCGCGCUGCAUUAGCUAGUUGGUAAGGUAACGGCUUACCAAGGCAACGAUGCAUAGCCGACCUGAGAGGGUGAUCGGCCACACUGGAACUGAGACACGGUCCAGACUCCUACGGGAGGCAGCAGUAGGGAAUCUUCCGCAAUGGGCGAAAGCCUGACGGAGCAACGCCGCGUGAGUGAUGAAGGUCUUCGGAUCGUAAAACUCUGUUAUUAGGGAAGAACAUAUGUGUAAGUAACUGUGCACAUCUUGACGGUACCUAAUCAGAAAGCCACGGCUAACUACGUG
rnacentral:rRNA from 1 species